AGUGAACGCUGGCGGUAGGCCUAACACAUGCAAGUCGAACGGCAGCACAGUAAGAGCUUGCUCUUACGGGUGGCGAGUGGCGGACGGGUGAGGAAUACAUCGGAAUCUACUUUUUCGUGGGGGAUAACGUAGGGAAACUUACGCGAAUACCGCAUACGACCUACGGGUGAAAGCAGGGGAUCUUCGGACCUUGCGCGAUUGAAUGAGCCGGUGUCGGAUUAGCUAGUUGGCGGGGUAAAGGCCCACCAUGGCGACGAUCCGUAGCUGGUCUGAGAGGAUGAUCAGCCACACUGGAACUGAGACACGGUCCAGACUCCUACGGGAGGCAGCAGUGGGGAAUAUUGGACAAUGGGCGCAAGCCUGAUCCAGCCAUACCGCGUGGGUGAAGAAGGCCUUCGGGUUGUAAAGCCCUUUUGUUGGGAAAGAAAAGCAGCAGGUUAAUACCCCGCUGUUCUGACGGUACCCAAAGAAUAAGCACCGGCUAACUUCGUG
rnacentral:rRNA from 1 species